UAACUCUAGAGCUAAUACAUGCCACGAAGCCCUGACCCGCGAGGGAAUGGGUGCACUUAUUAGAUCAGAAGCCAACCGGGCGGGCUGCUUCGGCUGUUCGUCUGUUGCCCUUCUGGUGACUCUGGAUAAUUGUUACAGAUCGCACCGGCCUUGAGUCGGCGACGGGUCCUUCAAAUGUCUGCCCUAUCAACUUUCGAUGGUAGGUGAUCUGCCUACCAUGGUGAUAACGGGUAACGGGGAAUCAGGGUUCGAUUCCGGAGAGGGAGCCUGAGAAACGGCUACCACUUCCAAGGGAGGCAGCAGGCGCGCAAAUUACCCACUCCCAGUACGGGGAGGUGGUGACGAAAAAUACUGAUGCGGGACUCAUAAACGAGGCUCCGUAAUCGGAAUGAGUGAACUCUAAAUCCUUUCACGAGGAUCAAUUGGAGGGCAAGUCUGGUGCCAGCAGCCGCGGUAACUCCAGCUCCAAUAGCGUAUAUUAAAGUUGCUGCAGUUAAAAAGCUCGUAGUUGGAUCUCGGUAUCACUGUUUCCUGCCAAGCCUUGAUCAGUUGGGCUAGCGAUACAUGGGUUCCGCUCGUGUUGUCCUGGUCUGGCUGUGUUGAGUUGGUGUGGGAGCGGUGUCACCUUUCAGCCAUGUCUGUGGUGCAAUACCCGCAGGUGUAGGCGGGUGUCAGGCGGUGCUUUGCUUCAGUGAGGUCCGUCGGCUCGUCUGCAUGCCUUUGGAUGCCCUUCAAAAGGUGUCUGUGGGCGGAUGGCACGUUUACUUUGAACAAAUUUGAGUGCUCAAAUCAGGCCGAUGUUGCCUGAAAAGUUUUGCAUGGAAUAAUGGAAUAGGACUUCGGUUCUAUUUUGUUGGUUUUUCGGAUCCGAAGUAAU
rnacentral:rRNA from 1 species